rnacentral:sRNA from 1 species
UUCCUUUUUGCAUCUCUUACAUUAUUUUUUUCCCCUUCUAUAGAACACUAGAAUAUGUAUUUGACAUCUCAUAUUUUAUUAGAAGUUAUUUGAUGCUAGCCAUUCACAUUUAUGUACGGAUGUUAUUGUUAUGGGUUAUUGCUUUAAAUCUUGAAACUGGUUUUUCCAGAGGAACAUUGUAAAGUGGUAGAGGACCUACCUUUUGGGAUAAAGCGUAUGGACUGGAAGUAGAGUGUAUCAUGACAUAACCUGUAGCUCUUUAACAGUCUCGAGUGGAACAAUAGAAGAACUCUUCUCUAAUCCCUCCACA